AUAGAGCAGAAGUUGAAAAAACCAACAGAACAAAAAAGACUGCCAUACUUGAGGAUUGCGUUGUAUUCGAGUCUUCUGAUGCACCAUGUGCUAUGUGUACCUCUGUAAAGGCAUCACCACCCUCUCGCCCUUCUCCACUCCCCUCAUCAUCAUCAUCAUCAGCUGCCCCUGUGAUGGGCACAUCAUCUUCAUCCUCCCCAUCAUCACCUGCCCCUUUGCCCUGUGAUGCAUCCACUUCUGUGAUCUCUCCAUCACAGGUGUCCCAGAGACUCUCAAUAAGGGAGGUUCAUCAAUCCCUUCAAAAAGAAAAUGGGAGGACUCUGAGGUAAAAGCAGUUGAAAAACAUAUGAUGAAUUUCAUAAAGACCUGCAGAGUUCCUGGUAAGCAAGACUGUGAGAGAUGCAUUAAAGCAGAGUCAGAAGCCUUAAAGGAACGAACAUGGACUGGUGUGAAAAAUUAUGUGCGGAACAGGAUCACAACUUGAGGUGGAUUUUAGAGGCUACAUUGCCUUUUACUGUAAAGUGAAGAACAUGGUGAGGAAAAUGUUAAAAGCAUCAAUGCCAUUUACACCAUAUCAAACUUUAAUAACUUCUGUAAGGCCCUGUUAUACCCCGUUUUAACACUUUCCACAUCAUGCUCAUCAUUUUAAAGAAAUUAGAUAAAAGUUUAAAUAGAAAGAUGUUUAAAGAGGGAGAAUUUGAUUGAGGACAGAAUGAACCACAAUGUUAACGAAGUAAACUAGACAGGAGAAGAGAGCGGAGUAAACGUAAUAUUGAAGUGAUGGAUUAUGAGAAAGGACGAAGAGUCUAGAAAAAGACACUGCACUGACAAACUUUUCAUUGUUUUUAUUGUUCAAUUCAUUUUAGCAUGUUGCCUUCGCUAUUUCAGAUGUGCACUUUCACAAUGUGUGAAUAUUGUUUAUUUGAAAGUGAAAGUGACGUGACAUACAGCCAAGUAUGGUGACCCAUACUCAGAAUUCGUGCUCUGUAUUUAACCCAUCUAAAGUGCACACACACACCGUGAACACACACACACCGUGAUAACCCGGAGCAGUGGGCAGCCAUUUAUGCUGCGGCGCCCGGGGAGCAGUUGGGGGUUCAGUGCCUUGCCUAUUGCCAGCCCGAGACUCGAACCACCAACCUUAGGGUUAGGAGUCAACCUCUCUAACCACUAGGCCAUGACUUCCCCUAUUUGUUCAGUAAUCACAACUGUUUAAUAUAGUUAGAAGAUCACAUGGAUCAGCAGAAGUAAAGGGAUGAAAGAGGGAGGAGUGUAGGUAAAGGUGAAGAAAAGGAGGAGCCAAGGUAAAGCAGAAUAAAGAGGGAGGAGUGUAGGUAAAGAGGUGUGUUUGAGUUGAACUAUAGUAGCCUUCUAGCUGUGUUUCUGCAUGCAGAUCAGUACAAUGAACACCAAAGUGAGUACGUAGAACUAAAUGUAUCAAAACACAAUACAACACACUUCAUGGUUAUUGUGGAGAGUCACGGCCAGUGAGAAUGAAGUGUUGUCAUGAAGCCAGGCACAGCUGAUUUGAGGGCAGCAUCAGCGUCUGAUCUGGGUAGUUGGUCUCGUCUUGCUCUUGCUGUAGUUUGAUGGCAUGUGAUCACAAGACGGCUGCAACUCCAAUCAAAGUCAAAGUCCAAUCAAAAUGUUCUAACCUAAAAGCGUUUGUUAGGAGGCAGUCGGUCUGCCCGACUACAUAUUAAGCCAAACACAAGGAUAAGAAUAGAGGAGGGGCAAAGGUAAAGAGGAAGAAAAGAUGGAGGAGUGAAGGUUAAGGGAUGGAAAAGAGGGGAAAGUGUGUGAGAAUUGAUGGAUAGAGGUAUUGGGAAGGAUUGUUGGGCAUCAUUUCCAAGUUCCUUGGUAUGUUUGGCUUAACCCUCUGGAGUCUAAGGGUAUUUUUGGGGCCUGGAGAAGUUUUGUCAUGCCCUGACAUUUGUGCUUUUUUCAGUUUCUUAUAAAUAUCUAAAUGGCUAAAGUCCAAUCUCACUGUAAUCAGCACAAACUGGGCUAUAAUAAUAUGUGAGCAGCAUGUAUGUACAUGAUUGUGUUUUUGAGAAAAAAAAUGUUAUGCGUGGUUAGUGAAAAACUAAAAAUGUUAAAUCACUUGAAUAAGGCAAUAAAACACAAAUUUUGAGAACUGGAGCUUGUAGCCUAGAAUUUUUCUUUCUAAAUGAUGUGAAAAUCAUCUUGUUUACUCACUUACAGAAAACAAUAUAUUGAUUUAAAUUUUCUAAGACACUUAUUGUUGGUAAAAGUCAUAUGCGAGUAGGCGUCAACUAUCAUGAAUUCACACCUGAGAAGACAAAGGCCUGCAUAAUGAGCUGCAUAAUGAGCUGCAUAAUGAGCCAUUCAGUCAGCUGUGACUGAGAGGGAUGAGUUACAAGAAAGAAUGUGAGGACAAAAUAAAUGUAUAUAAUUUUAUGUUUGUAGUUUAUUUAGAAUAUAUUUAAUUAUACACAACAUAAUUUAAUAUUCACUUGUGAGUGCAGUUAAACAGUUUAUUAGGAACAAUCAAAGCUGACUUUCAAACUGAAUUUUUUGCAUCAUUACUCCAGUCACACAAUCCUUCAGAAAUCCUUUUAACAAUCUUAUUUUCUACAAAAAAACAUUUAUUGUUAUUAUUAUCAUUAUUAUUAUUAUUAUUAUUAUUAUUAAUGUUGAAAAGAGCUGAGAAUAUUUUUUCAGGUUUUUUAGGGGGGAUAAAUUGAAAGAACCGCAAUGAUUGUUACAUUUGUUACAGUUACAUUUAUUGUUACAUUUAUAUUAUUUACAUCAAGCUUUUGAAUGGUAUAGUAGUGUAUAUUGUUAUUGAAACUUCAUGAUAUUUCACUUGAUUGUACAUUUAGUCAGGAAUUAUAGUUUGGAAAAAGUCUUUGGAAAAAGUCUAACUAGUAAAAUGUUUACACGUUAUGUGAAAACUAGUACAAGUAUAUAAAUAAAUAAAAAGAGACUAACUCAUGUUUACGAUCUCUGCUGGAUAAAGUGCUUCAUUCUUUUUUUCUGAGGAAAUCCAAAUCUCAAAUCCUCAACCACAUCACAUCUUUUUGGGGUGAAUUAUGUCUUAUUCCUCUCAUCGCGAAGCAAACAGUAAAAUAAAAAAAACUUGAAGAACAGUCUCGCUGCGUUGUCUUCUGUUGUGUGGGCGUAUUCAAAAGCCGCGCGCUUCAGUGAAACAUUUGAAUCUCAAAAGCGUCCUCGGCGCGGGGGCAUGGUCACUUUAGAAGAUAAUGAAGGGAGACAUGAAAAACGGACA
ensembl:lncRNA